rnacentral:ncRNA from 1 species
UUAAAUACUAUGAUAGGGAAAGUACUCGCUGCAAGGUCGCUCAGCGAGCUGGGAUGAGGUGUGAGCCCGGCGUGGACGGCAGCGAGAAAAAUCACCCUUGAGUUCGGGUGUGAACGGUUCCGGAUUGAAUCCGGGCUAGUAAUACCUGACGUUGAUUCGCGUUAAGAAGACAUUGAGUGGCAGAUUUUUUUGCUAUUAGGGUGGUACCGCGGUCCUUCCGUCCCUUUG